CCUAGGGGGUUCAAGGACGAUAGGGACUUUUUUGUUUUACGGACAGCCAUUUUGAAAGACGCUCAUUUCCCAAACAGACGGACAGCCAUUUUUUAGAGACGCUCAUUUCCCAAACGGACGGACAGAGAGCAAAAUCAGAGAUAGGCAAGACCAUAGUAGAAAGAAUAAUUGUUUAAAAACAUUGAAGAUUGACGAAGAAAGAUCGGUAGCUCAGGUCGUUGGAAAUCGAUUCUCGAUUUUCAGACUUCAGAAUCGAUCCUCUGAAUUACUACGUGAUAACGAUCUUACAUACAUAUAUGUAAUAUCGUGGAAAAGGGUCUAAGAAUUGGCGAGUAAACCAUAAACAAUGUCGCAAGAGCCGAGGCGUCGUCGGGCCCAUCAAUGUGUCAUCAGUCCUUCAAUUGAAUAGUCCCGUAAAAAGGGCCUACGUGACCCUGGCUACGAGGAGCUGCGGAACAUGUGCGUGGGGGGCCUAAGAGAAGACAAGAGGGAUGCGAAGGCAGUCAGUGCUAAUCGGGAAGUCGGUUCCUUGUUAGUUGGGAAGUCGGAGAGAAUCAAUCGAGAAGUCAAAGAGUGCGAGUUGCGUUGUCGAGAUAGUGUUGCUAGUGUAACAUCAAUCACAUCUCAACCUACAUCAGAGAUAAGACAGACUCCGAGCUUCGGACUCCUUUCGACACAUUCGUCAUCAUAAUCUACACCAAGGCUGUAACGCAGCUUAGUCCACAUCAAGAUAGGACAUCGACCACCGAACAUCGGACUCCUUUGGACACAUCACCAUCCUAUCAUCAUAGCCUAUACAGAAGUUAUGACACACUUUAGUCUACAUCAUAGAUAAGACAUCGACCCUCGACCUUCGGAUACUUCUCCACAUCAUAACCUACACCAAACCCCUCAACAUCCUCAAACUAAAAUGUACAUAAGCCGAGACUUCAGACAGCUCGGACAGUUCUUGCGCAGCCCUUUCUCCGAUUCAGUGUCAGUCUAUUGCUUGUAAGUGGUGAAUUUGUAAUAAAGAAGAUUAGUAGUUGGGUUACGA